GCCAGUGUGGUGUAGUGGUUUGAGCAUUGGACUCUGGAGACCAGGGUUCAAAUCCCUGCUCAGUCA